GACAGAGGCCUCGAGCGUUAGGCGGAAUCACUGGGCUUAAAGCGUGUGUAGGCGGAUCGUUAAGUGCCUUGUGAAAUCCCACGGCUUAACUGUGGAACGGCUGGGCAUACUGGCGGUCUUGAGCCAUCUAGGGGCGACUGGAACAAACGGUGGAGCGGUGAAAUGCGUAGAUAUCGGGAGGAACAUCUGUGGCGAAGGCGACACCCUGGACCAGCACUGACACUGAGGCACGAAAGCGUGGGGAGCAAACAGG
rnacentral:rRNA from 1 species